ensembl:rRNA 5S_rRNA 5S ribosomal RNA
GUCUACGGCCAUAUCAUCCUGAACGCACCCGAUCUCGGAAGCUAAGCAGGGUCAGGCCUGGUUAGUCCUUGGAUGGGAGACAGGUGAAUAAUCCAAAAGAAAGAUGACACAGAUGCUGGGGUCU